rnacentral:piRNA from 1 species
UGAGAAAUUAAUCUCCCUCGGGUAUUGUA